rnacentral:rRNA from 1 species
CCUACGGGUGGCAGCAGUGAGGAAUAUUGGUCAAUGGGCGGAAGCCUGAACCAGCCAAGUCGCGUGAGGGAAUACGGCCCUACGGGUCGUAAACCUCUUUUGCCGGGGAGCAAGGGCGGGGACGUGUCCCGGCACGGAGAGUACCCGGAGGAAAAGCAUCGGCUAACUCAGUGCCAGCAGCCGCGGUAAUCCGGGGGAGGCGAGCGUUAUCCGGAUUUAUUGGGUUUAAAGGGUGCGUAGGCGAGCUUUUACUUCAGCGGGAAAAAUUCGGGGCUCAACCCCGUCCGGCCGUUGAAACUGGGGGCCUUGAGUGGGCGAGAAGAAGGCGGAAUGCGUGGUGUAGCGGUGAAAUGCAUAGAGAUCACGCAGAACCCCGGUGGCGAAGGC